rnacentral:rRNA from 1 species
UCCUACGGGAGGCAGCAGUGGGGAAUUUUGGACAAUGGGCGAAAGCCUGAUCCAGCCAUUCCGCGUGAGUGAAGAAGGCCUUCGGGUUGUAAAGCUCUUUCGGCAGGAACGAAACGGUGGUGUCUAAUACCCCCCACUACUGACGGUACCUGAAGAAGAAGCACCGGCUAACUACGUGCCAGCAGCCGCGGUAAUAUAAC